ACUAAGCACAAUAAUUUUAAGCAGUACAUUCAGUUGCAUGCUUUUUACCUAUGUAUGCAUUAUUUAACAAAAUUAAAAAUAAUACAAAAAAUUAAAUGCAAUGUUAUCAAAGAAGACAUGGUAAUACAACAGAAGUAAAUGUUAAAAAGAAGAAAUUGAAUUAGGAACAAAAUGGGAACAAAAAUACAUAAAAGUCCUAAUACAGGCAACAGUUUAUAAAAAUAUCCUAAACAUCUGAAUUAACAAUUUGAAUUAAAAGUUUGAGGAAAAUCACCCAAGAGAAAUAAAAAGAUCAAAUCACACAAUAUAAGGAAAAAGACUGAGCUAUAGUAACAUGAAAUAUUACAGACAUGAAGAGCAAACAGAAAUCUAGGGUAAACACUACCAGUAUCUUUAACAAAAUAAUUUAUGCAUUAAAUAGAUAUGACUGAAGAUAUAAUUCAGUCAACACAAAACAAACCUUAAUAAAAACAGCUUGAAAAAGGAGAAGGAAAAUAAUAAAAUACUGGCUGUAAUUAUGGGAUUAAUGAAGUUAAAGAUGGAAUUUAAAACUUUAAAAAGUGAAGUUAGUUGUAGAAGUAUAAACAGAAUUUUUGAAAUGUAAAUUACCUAAUGUAAAAGUAGUUUGUCGAUGAAAGCAUGUAUGAAUCCUCCCAUAACCCUCCAGGAAGAAGAGGAGUUUCAGGUGGACAGGGAGAAAAGGCAUCUGCUUUGUUCUUUAAGGGAUUUGUGAUAUUAGGUUUUGCUUAGUGUCUCCAUCCAUGACUUCUCUCUUCUAUAUUAUUCUUUUUAUCACAAAGGAGGAGGUUACAAACAAAUGCCCCAGUAUCGUUUUUAAUGUUUUUAAUGUUUACUUCUAGUUUAGCAUCUGUCAGUGAGAAGAACUUGCUGAAGAGGCAGGCAAAAGCCCUUAUUUCAUUGGCAGUUACAGGCAGCCACAGGCAGUCACACAGCAGGCUCUUGUGGUCACCCAAUCAGGUGCUACAGGAAGCUAAGCUACUUGGUGGCAGUUUUCCUGCUAUUCUUGAAAUUCCAAACAGUUGCAAGUAAACUACUUCUGUUCUGCAGGCAGCAGGGAUGCUAGAGAGUGACUUUAGUAAGAGUGUUAAGAGUCUUUGGUGGCACCAGCAGCCCAAAUGACCUGCUGCCCUCACUGUCCACCCUAUUCACACUUCCAGUGCGGUUGUCAGUCCAGACUUGACUCAAGAAUCAGUGUACAAAGGACUUAGACCAUGGAAAAUAAAGGGGAACAUUCAGAUUGAGGAAAAAGAAUUCAACUUUAAUAGAACAUUUCUGAGAUUUAUGCUGCCUUCCAGAAACAGGAAGAAUUGAUAUUUCGCUCCACUGAAUUUUCAAAUUCAGUUUACACCUCUUUUGGAGUAUCUUCAAUUUUGUAUUAUUAUUAUGUAUUUAUCUGCUUGAGUCUUCCUUUAAACCUGUAAGUACUUGGGAGAAGUAAGCUUUUUCUCUUAUUUUUGUGUAUAUGUUGCUUAACACAGAGCUUGGUACAUAGUAGACACAAUUAAAUAAAACUGCCAAAUAAAUAAAUAAAUAUUAAUAUAGUUGAGAAUACCUUAAUUAAUAUAUCACAACAUGGAUGGAUCAAAUGAUUAAAUACCAUGCCAGCUUGGGUGCCGCCAUGAAGCAGAAUUAGAAGUGUAAGAAAUUUAGGGGCACCUGGGUGGCUCAGUUGGUUGAGCUUCCAACUUCGGCUCAGGUCAUAAUCUCGCAGUUCAUGAGUUCCGACCCCAUGUUGGGCUCUGUGCUAACAGCUCAGAGCCUAGAGGCCGCUUCAGAUUCUGUCUUCCUGUCUCUCUCUCUGUCCCUUCACCUACUCAUACUGUCUCUCUGUCAAAAAUAAAUAAACAUAAAAAAAGUAUAAGAAAUUUACUGAGGAAAAGUCCUAGGAAGGACA